CCUACGGGAGGCAGCAGUGGGGAAUAUUGCACAAUGGGCGCAAGCCUGAUGCAGCAACGCCGCGUGAGGGACGACGGCCUUCGGGUUGUAAACCUCUUUUAGUAGGGAAGAAGCGAAAGUGACGGUACCUGCAGAAAAAGCACCGGCUAACUACGUGCCAGCAGCCGCGGUAAUACGUAGGGUGCAAGCGUUGUCCGGAAUUAUUGGGCGUAAAGAGCUCGUAGGCGGUUUGUCGCGUCUGCUGUGAAAACCCGAGGCUCAACCUCGGGCCUGCAGUGGGUACGGGCAGACUAGAGUGCGGUAGGGGAGAUUGGAAUUCCUGGUGUAGCGGUGGAAUGCGCAGAUAUCAGGAGGAACACCGAUGGCGAAGGCAGAUCUCUGGGCCGUAACUGACGCUGAGGAGCGAAAGCAUGGGGAGCGAACAGGAUUAGAUACCCUGGUAGUCCAUGCCGUAAACGUUGGGAACUAGAUGUAGGGACCAUUCCACGGUUUCUGUGUCGCNGCUACGCAUACGUUCCCGUCCGUCGGGUAGGUACGGCCGCGACGGACGUAAACGUUAAACGUAAGUAAGUUAGUUACGGCGUGAGACGUGCCGACGGACGACGACGAGGGAGGAGG
rnacentral:rRNA from 1 species